AUGGGGGCGGGGGGAUCCUGGCGCUGGGCCGUGGGCGCGGUCUGCGGCGGGCUGGUCUACUACCACUGCGCGGUGCGGCGGGCGAGCGCGGUGUCCCUCGCCGCCGACGUGCUCCUCGUCCUCCUCUGCUCCCUCUCCAUCCUCGGCCUCCUCUUCCGCCACCUGCACAUCUCGGUGCCUGUGGAUCCUCUUGAGUGGCAGAUUUCUCAAGAGAUGGCAAAUAGUAUAGUUGCGUCCUUGGCUAACACAAUUGGAGCUGCGGAGUCUGUAUUGAGGGUGGCUGCAACUGGACAUGACAAGAAACUCUUGUUCAAGGUGGUUCUUACUCUGUAUUUCCUAGCAGCUUUGGGAAGGGUCGUCUCAGGCGCUGCUAUUGCCUAUGCUGCUCUGUGCAUCUUCUCCCUCUACAUGUUCGCGCAAAGCACCGACCAGUUUGAUCAGCUCCCUUGGGUUCCUUUAGGAAGAGACUCGCUGGGCGGCGCCCAGGAUACCACAUGA
rnacentral:rRNA from 1 species